UAAGACUCUAGUAGAUUGAAGACCUGGGAAAGUUGGAAUGCCAUGUUUCGUUGUCAACACAAAAUUAGGAACAGCAAUGAUUGAUAGUGUAGGUGGGCCGGUGAGGGUCAACAAUUUGUUGUCAACACUCAAUAUACCAACAAUUGGAAAUAAAAACAUGAAAAGAAAUGGAGAGACGUGUUGAAAAUAUCAUUGAGACAGUGGCUUCUAUGUCGACAGAAUCUGCUGCGAAAGAUCAAGGAAAUGGAGGAUGUGCAUCAUGAAGAAUUAAUGGUAUCAGAACACAACAUCAUGGAAGGUCUUAUUGACAAGAUCUUGGAGGAUGUCCUUUGCCAGAUGCCUCGCCAGCACUAAAGUCUAUUCUUCAGUCAGAUGCUACAGUUACAAAUGACAUUGAAUGGUCAGAUUUAUACAAUUGUGAUGAACAAUCCUCAACAAUACAUCAAACAAAAAUGCCUAUUAAACU